rnacentral:misc_RNA from 1 species
UUUGUUCUCAGUACAUCAAAGACCUUAUAUGUAGGUUUGAAGAAGAAAGGAACAUUUCAACAUUCAAGUUUCUUGGCUGGAGGAGCCACACUAUCUGCUGGAAGAUUAGUUGUGGAAGAUGGUCUUUUGAAGGCAGUCUGGCCUCACAGUGGACAUUAUCUUCCAACAGAAGAGAACUUUCAGGAGUUCAUGUCCUUUCUUAGGGAACAGAACGUAGACCUCACUGAUGUAAAGGAAAGCCCUGAUGAAGAAGAAGAAGCCAUUACCAAACAGGACAACAGCGUUAGUUUCCAAGACAACCAACCAGAUACAGAUUUUUGUCAAGGCACCAAAGUGACAAACAUUGAAAGCUUCCCUCAGCAAAACACAAAUUUCAGGGAACAAGACUCUAACGCUGAAGAAAAUACUGAUGUACAAUCAACAAAAAUGUCUCCUAAACUAUGCUUGAAGAUUACUAAACUUGAGAUACCAAGUAGAAGUGAUAUGUAUGAAACUUUCAAGGAGGUUGCAACAACUGAACCAAGCAGCAAUGCCAAGCCUCCUACAUCUUCCAUUGACAAUGGUUUUGAAUCAGCAAAAGAUUCAUUUUCCCAGGACGAUGGUUAUGAAUCAGCAGAAGAUUCAUUUUUGACAGAGGAAGAUUUCAUGUUUCUUAAGAUGAAUCUGUUUGAUGAAGAACAAGAAAAAGAAGAUGAAGAACCCAUCCCAAAAGAAAAAAUAGUGAAAAGGAUAAAUUCACAUAAAAGAAUGAACUCAUUUCAGCUGGCUAAUCAAUUAUCAUCUAAAUGGACCACAGGGGCAGGGCCACGGAUUGGGUGUAUGAGGGACUACCCAUCAGAGCUUCAAUUCAGGGUUUUAGAGCAUGCAAACUUGUCUCCAAGACAUGGAAGUGCCAACUCAACUCCCCCGACGACAUCCCGUUUUAGCCCAAAGGAUUUGACAACAACUUCUGCAUGCAUGGAGACAAUCUCCAGAAGUCCCCUUGCUCAAGGUCAGGUUGUAUUAUCAAAAACUUCAGCACCUUAGGCUGUUUUCCUUCAUUUAGUUCUUCAACCGGGGAGGAGAAGGUGAUAUAGGAAUUCUUUUACACUUUUUUCUUUUCUUUUUCUUUUUCCAUUCUACCUCCAAGAGUCAGAGGCGUUAUUUAGUUCUUUUUUUUUUUUUACUAUUUUUAAAAUUUUUUGCUGUUCCCAUAUUUAUAUAUUCCCUGGCAUUUUCACGUCCCCGCAUUUGCUUCCAUGCAUACCAGAGUAGGGAUCUAAGCCUCUUGAGCUUCUAGUAGAGCUCUUCUCAAUGCGCGUGGUUCAAGUAGAUUUGCUAAAUAUCAACGAAUGAUAUACUCAUGCGGGUGUCGAUCUCUAAUAACGUUUUACUGGAGAAGCUGGAAUUUGUUGUUAAAGGCAAUAUUAACAUGAAAUAGUCAAGCUGUCCAGGAUAUGAAAAAUCCAAGCCUCUGGUAUCAUUACCAAAAUUGAACAGCAAAGUAGAGAACCCGCAUUCUUUCAGCAGAGAAUUUUCACGUGAUUCGAAAAGUGAACAAAUUUCAUGUUUCUUUUAGCUAUCAAAGAAGAACUAAUUACAACAUAGUGUUUAUAGCUUAUUACAUGCUACAACCACAAAUAUUAAUUUGCAAUCAAGGCAACAAUAUACAUACAAUUACUCUCUCUCUCUCUCU